rnacentral:rRNA from 1 species
GAUCUGCUCCUAGCAUGUACGUGGACGAAUCCCGGCCAUAAAGGCAUGCUGCGUUCCUCAGUCCCAAUCAAUGUAUAUGACGCGAGGCUAUAAGUUCACCCGAGAGUGCUACCUUCCUCGUGCCUUUAUCCAUCGAUCAAAACUGAUGUUGACCCCACUCAAAGGAAAUACACCGCAGAACGGCUGAAUCCUAAGAGCAUGACUGACUUCAAUCGUUUCCCUUUCAACAAUUUCACGUACUGUUUAACUCUCUUUCCAAAGUGCUUUUCAUCUUUCCCUCACGGUACUUGUUCGCUAUCGGUCUCUCGCCAAUAUUUAGCUUUAGAUGGAAUUCACCACCCAUUUUGAGCUGCAUUCCCAAACAACUCGACUCGUUGAAAGUGUAUCACAAAGCACCGGGGGUCCAUGUCAAGGACGGGAUUCUCACCCUCUAUGACGCCCUGUUCCAAGGGACUUGUACAUGGGCCGGCACGGAAAACACUUCUCUAGAUUACAACUCGGGCAACCGAAGGCUACCAGAUUUCAAAUUUGAGCUCUUCCCGCUUCACUCGCCGUUACUAGGGGAAUCCUUGUUAGUUUCUUUUCCACCCUAAUGAAAAUU